CUGUAGUCCAUGGGGUCGCAAAGAGUCAUACACAACUGAACGACUUUCACUUCACUUAGGAUAUUUUAUUUAUAGAGUUGUAUCAUCUAUGAAUAAAGACAGUUUUAAUCAUUCCUUUUUAAGUGGUUUUAAUCUUUUUCAUACCUUGUUGCACUAGCUAGAAGCUUCACCACAAUGUUGAAGAAAGAGCCUUGCAAGGAGAAAACUUGAUGUUUUCUCUUUUCCCAAAGAAGAAAUGUAAGGUGCAUUGUCCUCAUAGUCAGAAGACCUGGAGUCUAAUUGCUAGUUACUGUUUGAUUUUUGGCAAAUCACUCACCUUCUCUGAACUGGUUUUCAUUCAUUUGUGUAGUAAGGUGAUUGGGUCUUAUUUUAUAAGCUUAAAUACUAUUCUGUGUUUUAAUAUUUUAUGGUUAUGAGCACACACUACUUUAUGCAUCUGCAACAAGAAAAUAAAAUUAACUGUACUUUAAAUUUUAAAAAUUAACUUUGUUUUCUAAAUGCAUUAGGGAAUUGAGAAGAAUCCAUACAAUCACAAAAUACACUUGUGUUAAAACAAAAUUUUUUCUUGAAUAGCAUGGCCAUCAAAUAGGCCAAACUUAGGAAUUAAUAUUAGGCUUUCUGAGAAAUUGCAUUGUCUGAAGCUUACACAUCUCUCAUUUCCAUUAAAAUAUAAUGCAAACUGUUUUUGCACCCACCUUCAGGGAAGUCACUGCAGUUAUUUGGCUUACUUUUUUGUGUGUAUGGCAUUAGCGCUGUGGAAUUUUGUUUUAACUUUAUUGUGUUUGACCUCACAUUUUGUGCCAUCAGAAAUGUAGAAUUUUAUUUUAAUUGUAUUAUGCCUGGCAUAAGCUAACCUUGUAAUUAAACGUGUAAUAAAACAUGCCAUAAAGUUU